rnacentral:tRNA from 1 species
GGUCUCAUGGUGUAAUGGUUAGCACUCUGGACUUUGAAUCCAGCGAUCCGAGUUCGAAUCUCGGUGAGACCU